rnacentral:rRNA from 1 species
GUCUACAGCCAUGCCACCUUGAGCAAGCCUGAUUCCUUCUGAUCUCGAAGGCUAAGCAAGGUCAGGCCUGGUUAGUACUUGGAUGGGAGACCACCUAGGAAGACCAGGUGCUGUAGGUG